rnacentral:rRNA from 1 species
UUAAGCAAUUAAGUGCAUACGGUGGAUGCCUUGGCAAUGAGAGGCGAUGAAGGACGUGGUAGUCUGCGAUAAGCUUCGGGGAGUUGGCAACAAACUUUGAUCCGAAGAUUUCCGAAUGGGGGAACCCACCCGCAAGGGUAUCAUUAUCUGAAUUCAUAGGGUAAUGAAGCGAACCUGGGGAACUGAAACAUCUAAGUACCCAGAGGAAAAGAAAUCAACCGAGAUUCCGUUAGUAGUGGCGAACGAAUGCGGAUCAGCCCAGUUACCAUCAAACAGUAGAUUACUAGUCAAAUAACCUGGAAAGGUUAGCCAUAGAGAGUGAUAGCCUCGUCGACAAAAGUAAACUAUUGUGGGGUAACGAAGAGUAGGUCGGGACACGUGUUAUCUUGACUGAACAUGGGGGGACCAUCCUCCAAGGCUAAAUACUACUCAUUGACCGAUAGUGAACAAGUACCGUGAGGGAAAGGUGAAAAGAACCCCUGUUAGGGGAGUGAAAUAGAUCCUGAAACCGUAUGCAUACAAGCAGUAGGAGCAUGUUUUAGACAUGUGACUGCGUACCUUUUGUAUAAUGGGUCAGCGACUUACUUACAGUGGCAAGCUUAACCGAAUAGGGGAGGCAUAGGGAAACCGAGUUUUAACCGGCGUUAAGUCGCUGUGAGUAGACCCGAAACCGAGCGAUCUAGCCAUGGGCAGGGUGAAAGUUAGGUAACACUGACCGGAGGCCCGAACCCACUGGUGUUGAAAGACCACGGGAUGACCUGUGGCUAGGAGUGAAAGGCUAAUCAAGCUCGGAGAUAGCUGGUUCUUCUCGAAAUCUAUUUAGGUAGAGCCUCGUGUAUAACUCUUGGGGGUAGAGCACUGUUUCGGCUAGGGGGCUGUCAUGGCUUACCAAACCGAGGCAAACUCCGAAUACCAAGAAGUUCAGCACGGGAGACACACUGCGGGUGAUAAGGUCCGUAGUGGAAAGGGAAACAGCCCAGACCGCCAGCUAAGGUCCCAAAAUUAUAGUUAAGUGGCAAACGAAGUGGAGAGUCAUAGACAGCCAGGAGGUUGGCUUGGAAGCAGCCAUCCUUUAAAGAAAGCGUAAUAGCUCACUGGUCAAGUCUGUCUGCGCGGAAGAUGUAACGGGGCUAAACUAUAUACCGAAGCUGCGGAGUUAGAAGUUUACUUCUAACUGGUAGAGAAGCGUUCUGUAGGCCGUUGAAGGUGAACCGGGAGGUUUGCUGGAGGUAUCAGAAGUGAGAAUGCUGACAUGAGUAACGAUAAUGCAGGUGAAAAACCUGCACGCCGAAAGUCCAAGGUUUCCUUGCGCAACGCUAAUCGACGCAGGGUGAGUCGGCUCCUAAGGCGAGGCAGAAAUGCGUAGUCGAUGGGAAACAGGUUAAUAUUCCUGUACUUUGGUGUAUUGCGAUGGGAUGACGGAGAAGGCUAGGCCAGCCAGGCGAUGGUUGUCUUGGUUUAAGCAUGUAGGGCGGUACUUAGGUAAAUCCGGGUACCAUGAAGCCUGAGGUGUUAUGACGACCUCCUUUAGCUUGCUAAAUGAGGGAAGUGGUUGAUGCCAUGCUUCCAGGAAAAAUCUCUAAGCAUCAGAUACAUCAGAACCGUACCCCAAACCGACACAGGUGGACAGGUAGAGAAUACCAAGGCGUGGAGAUAACUCGGGUGAAGGAACUCGGCAAAAUGACACCGUAACUUCGGGAGAAGGUGUGCCUUUAACGGUGAAUUACGUACGUUUGGAGCUGUUAAAGGUUGCAACAAAUUGGUGGCUGAGACUGUUUAUUAAAAACACAGCACUCUGCAAACUCGUAAGAGGAAGUAUAGGGUGUGACGCCUGCCCGGUGCCGGAAGGUUAAUUGAUGCUGUUAGCUUCGGCGAAGCAGUUGAUCGAAGCCCCGGUGAACGGCGGCCGUAACUAUGACGGUCCUAAGGUAGCGAAAUUCCUUGUCGGGUAAGUUCCGACCUGCACGAAUGGCGUAACAAUGGCCACGCUGUCUCCACCCGGGACUCAGUGAAAUCGAAAUUGCUGUGAAGAUGCAGUGUACCCGCGGCAAGACGGAAAGACCCCGUGAACCUUUACUAUAGCUUUACACUGAAUAUUUGAUUUAUCUGUGUAGGAUAGGUGGGAGACUUUGAAGCCUGAUCGCUAGAUCAAGUGGAGUCAUCCUUGAAAUACCACCCUGAUAAAUUAGGCAUUCUAACCCAGGUCCGUUAUCCGGAUCGGAGACAGUGUAUGGUGGGUAGUUUGACUGGGGCGGUCUCCUCCCAAAGAGUAACGGAGGAGCGCAACGGUACCCUCAGCACGGUCGGAAAUCGUGCAUUGAGUGCAAGAGCAUAAGGGUGCUUGACUGCAAGACAGACAUGUCAAACAGGUACGAAAGUAGGUUCUAGUGAUCCGGUGGUUCUGUAUGGAAGGGCCAUCGCUCAACGGAUAAAAGGUACUCCGGGGAUAACAGGCUGAUACCGCCCAAGAGUUCAUAUCGACGGCGGUGUUUGGCACCUCGAUGUCGGCUCAUCACAUCCUGGGGCUGAAGCAGGUCCCAAGGGUAUGGCUGUUCGCCAUUUAAAGUGGUACGCGAGCUGGGUUUAGAAC